AGGGGGAUAACUACUGGAAACGGUAGCUAAUACCGCAUAACGUCGCAAGACCAAAGAGGGGGACCUUCGGGCCUCUUGCCAUCAGAUGUGCCCAGAUGGGAUUAGCUAGUAGGUGGGGUAAUGGCUCACCUAGGCGACGAUCCCUAGCUGGUCUGAGAGGAUGACCAGCCACACUGGAACUGAGACACGGUCCAGACUCCUACGGGAGGCAGCAGUGGGGAAUAUUGCACAAUGGGCGCAAGCCUGAUGCAGCCAUGCCGCGUGUGUGAAGAAGGCCUUGCGGGUUGUAAAGCACUUUCAGCGAGGAGGAAGGUGGUGAACUUAAUACGUUCAUCAAUUGACGUUACUCGCAGAAGAAGCACCGGCUAACUCCGUGCCAGCAGCCGCGGUAAUACGGAGGGUGCAAGCGUUAAUCGGAAUUACUGGGCGUAAAGCGCACGCAGGCGGUUUGUUAAGUCAGAUGUGAAAUCCCCGGGCUCAACCUGGGAACUGCAUUUGAAACUGGC
rnacentral:rRNA from 1 species